ACCAUUAAGCAUAGCAUAACGGCUCAUUUGCAUUUUAGAAUUCCGUGGAAGUCUUAAAAUAAAACUUACUUUUUUGAGUGAAGAAGAGAAGAUGAAGUUGCAGGUGUGGAGACUGUAGCUCACACAAUAUUAUACGCUUGACAGGUGGGGGUGUGUGUCUACUUGACGCCUUUAAAGUUAGACGACGCCGUUACACCAUAACCUGCUCUUCUUUUGCAUGAUAGAUUCUCUCUUCAACCGACUCUUCUUCAAUACUACUUACCCGGAGGAUUCCAUGGAGUUCAACAGAGCCAACUGCUCUUCAAUACUAGUUGUCUUCUUUAUCUUAGGGUUAGUGUUUCCGGCGUCCAUGGUUGCAGCGAUUGGGAUCAACUACGGGCAGAUUGCGAACAACCUUCCGUCGCCGGAAAAUGUAAUACCGCUGGUUAGAUCGAUUGGGGCGAGUAAAAUAAAGCUGUACGACGCGGAUCCAAGAGUACUAAAGGCAUUUGCCAACAGCAGCGUGGAAUUCAUAGUGGGACUGGGAAACGAGUACUUGGGGAAGAUGAGAGAUCCGGACAAGGCACAAGCCUGGGUGAAGACAAACGUAGGAGCAUACAUCCCUGCCACAAAAAUCACCUGCAUCACAGUCGGAAACGAAGUGUUGACACUGAACGACACUUCUCUGAGCGACAGCCUCCUCCCGGCGAUGCAGAGCGUCCACACGGCUCUGGUGAACCUCAAUCUGGAGAAGCAGGUCAGUGUGACUACCGCACACUCCCUGGCUGUUCUUGAAACCUCCUAUCCACCCUCUGCAGGAGCAUUCCGUCCAGAUCUCAGGGGACGUAUUACUCAGAUAUUGGACUUCCAUCUCAAAACCGGUUCCCCUUUCCUCAUCAACGCCUACCCUUUCUUCUCCUACAAGGCUAAUCCAAAGCAAGUCCCUCUCGACUUCGUCCUGUUUCAGCCAAACUCCGGAAUUGUAGAUCCAGUCUCCAAUCUUCACUACGACAACAUGUUGUUCGCACAGAUCGACGCCGUUUACUCUGCCCUAGCAUCCCCAUCCCUAUCCCUAGGAGGAGGAGGAGGAGGCCCUUACAAGAAACUCCCCGUUCAGAUCUCCGAGACUGGUUGGCCUUCCAAGGGAGACCAGGACGAAGCAGGGGCCACUCCCGAUAAUGCCAACAAGUAUAACACCAAUCUCAUGAAGCUCAUUGCUCAGAACAAGGGAACCCCCUUGAAGCCCAAUUCCGACCUCAAUAUCUACGUUUUUGCUCUCUUCAAUGAGAACAUGAAGCCCGGCCCCACCUCCGAGAGGAACUACGGCUUGUUCAACCCCGACGGCUCUCUGGCCUAUCCACUCGGCGGCCUCACCGCCAAUUACAACAUCGUCAAUAACACCACCACCACCACCACCACCACCAAUGCCUCUUCCUCUGGCGGAGGUACAAGUGCGACGAAUGCGCCUUCGCCGCCGCAGAGCUCUUCCACUGGUUAUUUAUCUAUCUCGGCGGCAGCGGGAAGAUUGCAUUUUGAUAGCACUUGGGUUUAUAUGUGCCUGGUGGGGUUACUUUCUCUUCCGGUCUUCUAGAUUUUUAGUCAGUUGCAUUGCAGAAUUCAAAACUUGAAAAUUCAAACGACGCUCAAGGUGACAUCAGCUUUAGUUUUGGUGGAUAUGGGAUGGAUGGAGGAGAAAGAGAGAGAGAUAGAGAGAAUAACAGGGAGGGAGGGAGCUUCUCUGUAACUGAAGGAGAUUAAGAUGAGGGAAUAUUAAAUUUUAGGCUUGUACAUAUAUGCUCUGCUAGGGGGAAUGCACCAUGUUAAUUUUUCGUCAGGCAAGGAUUUUGGAUGAGAUUUCAAUUUAUUUAUGUUUCUUUGCAAUCCCCUCCCAUUUGUUUCUAGUGUAGGAGGAAGCUUAAUGUUAUUUUCAUUAUGAUGUCUGUCAUUGGCAUUUUGACAUUAGUUAACUUAAAUGAAACAAUGAUUAUGACA